rnacentral:rRNA from 1 species
UACCCGCAGCACAAGUGGUGGUCAUUAUUAUUGGGCCUAAAGCGUCCGUAGCUGGCUUGUUAGAUGCCUGGGUAAAUCGAUGCGCUUAACGCAUCGAAUUCCGGGUAGACCGGCAAGCUCGAGACCGGGAGAGGUGUAGGCUACUCGAGGGGUAGGGGUAAAAUCCUGUAAUCCUUCGGGGAGGACCAGUGGCGAAGGCGCUACACUAGAACGGCUCUGACAGUGAGGGACGAAGCCCUGGGGCGCAAACCGGG